rnacentral:rRNA from 1 species
CGUUAACUGCGUGUGCAUUGAUAGUACCCGAAGAGGAAGAGACGGCUAACUCUGUGCCAGCAGCCGCGGUAAUACAGAGGUCUCAAGCGUUGUUCGGAUUCAUUGGGCGUAAAGGGUGCGUAGGCGGCGCGGUAAGUCGGGUGUGAAAUCUCGGAGCUUAACUCCGAAACUGCAUUCGAUACUGCCGUGCUUGAGGACUGGAGAGGAGACUGGAAUUUACGGUGUAGCGGUGAAAUGCGUAGAUAUCGUAAGGAAGACCAGUGGCGAAGGCGGGUCUCUGGACAGUUCCUGACGCUGAGGCACGAAGGUCAGGGGAGCAAACGGGAUUAGAUACCCCGGUAGUCCUGACAGUAAACGGUGCACGUUUGGUGUGGGAGGAUUCGACCCCUUCUGCGCCGGAGCUAACGCGUUAAACGUGCCGCCUGGGGAGUACGGUCGCAAGAUUAAAACUCAAAGAAAUUGACGGGGGCCCGCACAAGCGGUGGAGUAUGUGACCCAAUUCGAUGCAACGCGAAGAACCUUACCAGGCCUUGACAUGCAUCUCUAAGUUGGUGAAAGCCAGCGAGUCCCGAAAGGGACAAUUUGCACAGGUGCUGCAUGGCUGUCGUCAGCUCGUGUCGUGAGAUGUUGGGUUAAGUCCCGCAACGAGCGCAACCC